UACGUAGGGUGCAAGCGUUAAUCGGAAUUACUGGGCGUAAAGCGUGCGCAGGCGGCUUUGCAAGACAGAUGUGAAAUCCCCGGGCUUAACCUGGGAACUGCAUUUGUGACUGCAUGGCUGGAGUGCGGCAGAGGGGGGUGGAAUUCCGCGUGUAGCAGUGAAAUGCGUAGAGAUGCGGAGGAACACCGAUGGCGAAGGCAGCCCCCUGGGCUGACACUGACGCUCAGGCACGAAAGCGUGGGGAGCAAACAGG
rnacentral:rRNA from 1 species